AAGCACACGAUAGCAUCAGCAAUGGUACUCACUUGCUGUGUUGUCGGUUGUAAUGUUAGAUCGCACGAUCGGUAAGGGAAGAAGCUGGAAAAUGAGCUCUCUUUUUAUUCUCUCCCCACCUUGAAGCAACGUGAGGGAGCGUAUGUAUCGGAUGUUACCAAAAGAAGGCAUCUAGCCUGGAUAGCAGCUGUGAGACGAGCUGAUAUCCAGUUCUCUACCAUCUCCAGAUAUCUGUUGGUGUGCUCCAGACAUUUUCAUCCAGGCAAACCAGCCUGUGAAAUGGAUGAAACACAUCGUGACUGGGCUCCAACUGCGUUUUGGUGAACAUGUUCCCCAGUGUGGUAGUAAAACCAGGGAAAAAUGCUCUCGUUAAAUACUCUUAAAGGUCUUGUGCUGUAUAUGUAGUGAUCCGUUUUCAAAAGAGACAGUAAAUGACAGAAUGCUAGUAGCAGAUGAUAUUAUUUAAAUGCUGUCAUGAUUUUAUGUGAACAUUUUGUCAUUUGUAAACUAUAAACAACAUGGAUUCUACAUUGUAACUGAUGUGAUGUUCUACAAAGUGCUUUUGAUAAUAAAAAAAAGGCAAACA